GGAUGUGACCUGUUUAGCUUAAAGGAAAAAAUUACGCUAAGAAACAUCCUCCUAUUCUGGAAGGAACGUCAAUCAGACUACAACUUCAUUCUAAGUGGAAACAUUCAAAGCCUGGUUUAUAUAAUAUCAAAAGUGGAAAUCAGGUUUAAAGAAGAAAUGGAAAACACAUCAGAAAGCCUCUGAGAAAGCAAAUAGAUUUGACUUUCCAGGUGACAUCUCAGAGCCACAAAUCUAGAGACUCCAAGAGUACAAACUGCGCUAGAUGUAAAGCCGUCACUACACACUUCUUCUUCACCUCAGGACCAGACGUAACUUUUUGCUAUCUAAACCAGACAGUCAAUGAGAUGGACGGACAGACAGACUACACAAAACUAAUAGCGGCUCUUCCCCUAUCGGGACGCUAAAAAAUGCCCCAUCAAAAAUCCAAGUUUCCUCAAGGUAAAGAAUGCUAUCAAGCUAUCUUGGUACAGGUUUUCUGGUCGUUAUUGAACGCACAAUGUGGGUGAAUUACAACAAAGACACUUAUGACUGGCUUGUUUUAUCCUUUAGAAAAAAAGCUUUCCUACACACCUUGUGCUUUUUAGAUUUCAUUCAUAUCGUGUGUGUGAACAGUAUGUGUGUGUGUGUUUUAUUAAUUUCCCCACACAUCUCGUGCUAAUUUUUUGUUUAAAGUCCACACGUCUUACAGUUACUCUUACACCAUUUUAUGAAAACAUUAAAAAUGUAACUUUGAAGAAAGAAAAAAAACAUACAAACAUGUCAUUUUAACAUUCAUAAACAUUUUACUUUUGUUUUUAAAAAUCGUAAAUAUUCAAGGCUGUUACAUUAAAUAAAAAUACAAUGCGUAGAUAAAUCUUUGUAUAAACUAUUUUAAAAAAGCUAAGACAGAUGUGUAACUUUUGUAGGCAAGUUUUAUCAAAUGAAAUGAAAAAAAAAAAA
rnacentral:sRNA from 1 species